UCCUCUGUAGUUCAGUCGGUAGAACGGCGGACUGUUAAUCCGUAUGUCACUGGUUCGGAGUCCAGUCAGAGGAGCUA
rnacentral:tRNA from 1 species